rnacentral:rRNA from 1 species
AAUGAACGUUGGCGGCGUGGAUUAGGCAUGCGAGUCGUGCGAGAACCGUAGCAAUACGGGGACAGCGGCGAAAGGGAGAGGAACACGUGGAUACCUACCCUCAGGUUCAGGAUAGCCAUGGGAAACUAUGGGUAAUACUGAAUAACAUCUCCGGAUCAAAGGUGUGAUUCCGCCGGAGGAGGGGUCCGCGUCCUAUUAGCUAGUUGGUGAGGUAAUGGCUCACCAAGGCGAAGAUGGGUACGAGAUGUGAGAGCAUAAUCUCGCUCAUUGGGACUGAGACACUGCCCAGACACCUACAGGUGGCUGCAGUCGAGAAUCUUCGGCAAUGGGGGAAACCCUGACCGAGCGACGCCGCGUGUGAGAUGAAGGCCUUCGGGUUGUAAAUCACUGUCGUAGAGGAGGAAAUACUGGUGGGUUCUCCCAUCAGCUUGACCUAUUCUAGGAGGAAGGACGGGCUAAGUUCGUGCCAGCCGCCGCAGUAAAAC